rnacentral:lncRNA from 1 species
AAUUUUCAAUUUGCCCUUUACUGAUUUUUCAACAUUUGUUCUGAAUUCAGAUUCCCAUCCCAUCUCCCCCAAAAUAAUAUAAUAAAUUAAUAAUUUCGCUCUCGAAGAAGUUAGUAGUCAUCCCCUGCUGCGAUUCGCCUAUCCUUCGAACAGCAAAAUGGAGAAGAUGAUGUUACUGAGAUCCAUAAUCGGCGCUGCCUGUUUCAGAUCUCCUCGUUUCGCCGCCAUUUUCCACCACCAACUCCGCCACCACUUGGCUUCUCGAUUCAUCUUCACUCUCUCGUCACCUUCAUUUGCAGCCCCUUCCAAUCGCAUCCCUUCUGGUGUUCUUUUUUAUCUAUAUAUAUAUCCGCUAGUUAAUUAAAUUAUGCCCUUUCAGUUGUUUGUUAUUCGAUUAUGACUUGCUUGGUGGUGAUUCUAUUUUUUCCCCUUUUUUCCCUCCUUAAUCGAUUUGUUCUAUAUCCAAUUCCUUUAUCAAAAUUUAGGGUUUUUUCUUCUUAGAUUAAUACUCCCUCCGUCACCUAACACGUUAAUAAAUACAAUUUUUUAAAUUAAUUUUUUAAUUACAUCCAUUUAUAUUUAAAUUUAAUUAAAUAUUAAAAAGUAAUUUAAGUGAAUUCUUAAAAAAUAAUCUUAAAAUAAAAUUAAGUAAGAUUAUAAUAGGUAAUUUAUAUAUUAAUAUAAUUUAAAAAUAAAUAAUGAUUUUGAGACAGUAAAUAAAAAAUUCAAAAAUUAGGGACGGCUAGUAUCUGUUGGCAUAGUUUUCAAAGAGCUUUACUGGAUUUCAUUAUGUCCGCUGUAGUAAACUCCUGUUAAAGAGAGUUUUAUGCAUUUAAUGUCUUUCAGGUGUAUGCUGGAUUCACAACAUUUCGCUGGCG